UGAACGCUGGCGGCGUGCUUAACACAUGCAAGUCGAGCGAGAACGUCGACUUCGGUUGACUAGUAAAGCGGCGAACGGGUGAGUAACACGUGGAUAACCUACCCUGGAGUGGGGGAUAACCUGGGGAAACUCGGGCUAAUACCGCAUACGUUCUCAGCAUUGCGAUGCUGAGAGGAAAGCUAGCCUAUUCUUGAAAGCUAGCGCUCUUCGAGGGGUCCGCGCCCGAUUAGCUAGUUGGUGGGGUAAUGGCCCACCAAGGCUGCGAUCGGUAGCCGGCCUGAGAGGGCGAUCGGCCACACUGGGACUGAGACACGGCCCAGACUCCUACGGGAGGCAGCAGUGGGGAAUAUUGGACAAUGGGCGCAAGCCUGAUCCAGCAACGCCGCGUGGAGGACGAAGGCCUUCGGGUCGUAAACUCCUGUCAGUUGGGACGAAAAGUCGUCGGUCAAUAUCCGACGAUCAUGACGGUACCAGCAGAGGAAGCCCCGGCUAACUCC
rnacentral:rRNA from 1 species